rnacentral:rRNA from 1 species
AAGGCUUAUAAAUAUCCCGAUAAAUACUAUCAACAGAUAAAAAUUCAAAGGAUUUGGCGGUGUCUUAAAUACUCAGGGGAACCUGUUACUUAAUUCGAUAAUCCACGUUAUUCAAACCCUUUUUUGAAACUUCAGCCUGUGUACUGCUGUCGUCAGUAAACCUCUAAGAGUUAGUUUACAAUAAUAAUUACAUAUUAUUUACGUCAAGUCAAAGUGCAGCUUAUAAAAGAUGGUGUUCAAUGGGUUACAAACUUUAAUAAAGAAUACGAAGAUCUUAAUUAAACCGAGAUUAAAGGUGGACUUGAUAGUAAUAUUUACAUAAUACUAAUAUGAACAAUUAAUCUAAGACAUGCACACAUCGCCCGUCGCUCUCACCC